rnacentral:rRNA from 1 species
GACGAACGCUGGCGGCGUGCCUAAUACAUGCAAGUAGAACGCUGAAGGAGGAGCUUGCUUCUCUGGAUGAGUUGCGAACGGGUGAGUAACGCGUAGGUAACCUGCCUGGUAGCGGGGGAUAACUAUUGGAAACGAUAGCUAAUACCGCAUAAUAGUAGAUGUUGCAUGACAUUUGCUUAAAAGGUGCAAUUGCAUCACUACCAGAUGGACCUGCGUUGUAUUAGCUAGUUGGUGAGGUAACGGCUCACCAAGGCGACGAUACAUAGCCGACCUGAGAGGGUGAUCGGCCACACUGGGACUGAGACACGGCCCAGACUCCUACGGGAGGCAGCAGUAGGGAAUCUUCGGCAAUGGACGGAAGUCUGACCGAGCAACGCCGCGUGAGUGAAGAAGGUUUUCGGAUCGUAAAGCUCUGUUGUAAGAGAAGAACGAGUGUGAGAGUGGAAAGUUCACACUGUAACGGUAUCUUACCAGAAAGGGACGGCUAACUACGUGCCAGCAGCCGCGGUAAUACGUAGGUCCCGAGCGUUGUCCGGAUUUAUUGGACGUAAAGCGAGCGCAGGCGGUUAGAUAAGUCUGAAGUUAAAGGCUGUGGCUUAACCAUAGUACGCUUUGGAAACUGUUUAACUUGAGUGCAAGAGGGGAGAGUGGAAUUCCAUGUGUAGCGGUGAAAUGCGUAGAUAUAUGGAGGAACACCGGUGGCGAAAGCGGCUCUCUGGCUUGUAACUGACGCUGAGGCUCGAAAGCGUGGGGAGCAAACAGG